rnacentral:rRNA from 1 species
GACCUCGGAUCAGGCGGGGCUACCCGCUGAACUUAAGCAUAUCAAUAAGCGGAGGACAAGAAACCAACAGGGAUUGCCUCAGUAACGGCGAGUGAAGCGGCAACAGCUCAGAUUUGAAAUCUGGCCCCGUCUCGGGGCCCGAGUUGUAGUCUGCAGAGGAUGCUUCGGGUGCCGGCCGGGCCCAGGUCCCUUGGAACAGGGCGCCAAAGAGGGUGAGAGCCCCGUCUGCGGCCCGGUCGCGUCGCCCGCGCGUAGCUCCCUCGACGAGUCGAGUUGUUUGGGAAUGCAGCUCAAAGCGGGUGGUAAAUCUCAUCUAAGGCUAAAUACCGGCCAGAGACCGAUAGCGCACAAGUAGAGUGAUCGAAAGAUGAAAAGCACUUUGGAAAGAGAGUCAAACAGCACGUGAAAUUGCUGAAAGGGAAGCGCCCGCGACCAGA